rnacentral:rRNA from 1 species
GACGAACGCUGGCGGCGUGCUUAACGCAUGCAAGUCGAACGGAAAGGCCCUGCUUUUGUGGGGUGCUCGAGUGGCGAACGGGUGAGUAACACGCGAGUAACCUGCCCUUGACUUUGGGAUAACUUCAGGAAACUGGGGCUAAUACCGGAUAGGAGCUCCUGCUGCAUGGUGGGGGUUGGAAAGUUUCGGCGGUUGGGGAUGGACUCGCGGCUUAUCAGCUUGUUGGUGGGGUAGUGGCUUACCAAGGCUUUGACGGGUAGCCGGCCUGAGAGGGUGACCGGCCACAUUGGGACUGAGAUACGGCCCAGACGCCUACGGGAGGCAGCAGUGGGGAAUAUUGCACAAUGGGCGGAAGCCUGAUGCAGCAACGCCGCGUGCGGGAUGACGGCCUUCGGGUUGUAAACCGCUUUCGCCUGUGACGAAGCGUGAGUGACGGUAAUGGGUAAAGAAGCACCGGCUAACUACGUG